rnacentral:rRNA from 1 species
GGAAGGAUCAUUAUUGAAUGAACUUGGUGUGGUUGUUGCUGGCCCUUUCGGGGGCAUGUGCACACCCAUCAUCCUCAUCUCUCCACCUGUGCACCUCUUGUAGACUUGGAUUGACUUUCCGAGGCAACUCGGUCGGGAGGACUUGCUGGCAUUAGCUGGCUUUCCUUGCAUUUCCAAGUCUAUGUUUUUCAUAUACCCCAUUGAAUGUAACAGAAUGUAACAUAUUGGGCCUUUGUGCCUAUAAAAACUUAUACAACUUUCAGCAACGGAUCUCUUGGCUCUCGCAUCGAUGAAGAACGCAGCGAAAUGCGAUAAGUAAUGUGAAUUGCAGAAUUCAGUGAAUCAUCGAAUCUUUGAACGCACCUUGCGCUCCUUGGUAUUCCGAGGAGCAUGCCUGUUUGAGUGUCAUUAAAUUCUCAACUAUUAUCAGCUUUUGCUGAUAAUGGCUUGGAUAUGGGGGUUUAUUUUGCUGGCUUCUUCACAGAUUGUCAGCUCCCCUUAAAUGCAUUAGCCGGUGCCCCGCGUGGACUGUCUAUUGGUGUGAUAAUUAUCUACGCCGUGGACAUCUACAAUCAUAUGGGUUUGCACUGCUUCCAACUGUCUGUUUAUUCAGACAAUACAUGACAAUUUGACCUCAAAUCAGGUAGGACUACCCGCUGAACUUAAGCAUAUCAAUAAGCGGAGGAAAAGAAACUAACAAGGAUUCCCCUAGUAACUGCGAGUGAAGCGGGAAAAGCUCAAAUUUAAAAUCUGGCGGUCUCCGGCCGUCCGAGUUGUAAUCUAGAGAAGUGUUAUCCGCGCUGGACCGUGUACAAGUCUCCUGGAAUGGAGCGUCAUAGAGGGUGAGAAUCCCGUCUUUGACACGGACUGCCAGGGCUUUGUGAUGCGCUCUCAAAGAGUCGAGUUGUUUGGGAAUGCAGCUCAAAAUGGGUGGUAAAUUCCAUCUAAAGCUAAAUAUUGGCGAGAGACC